AGUGAACGCUGGCGGUAGGCCUAACACAUGCAAGUCGAACGGCAGCACAGUAAGAGCUUGCUCUUACGGGUGGCGAGUGGCGGACGGGUGAGGAAUACAUCGGAAUCUACUUUUUCGUGGGGGAUAACGUAGGGAAACUUACGCUAAUACCGCAUACGACCUACGGGUGAAAGCAGGGGAUCUUCGGACCUUGCGCGAUUGAAUGAGCCGAUGUCGGAUUAGCUAGUUGGCGGGGUAAAGGCCCACCAAGGCGACGAUCCGUAGCUGGUCUGAGAGGAUGAUCGGCCACACUGGAACGGGGACACGGUCCAGGCGCCUACGGGAGGCAGCAGUGGGGAAUAUUGGACAAUGGGCGCAAGCCUGAUCCAGCCAUACCGCGUGGGUGAAGAAGGCCUUCGGGUUGUAAAGCCCUUUUGUUGGGAAAGAAAAGCAGCAGGUUAAUACCCCGCUGUUCUGACGGUACCCAGAGAAUAAGCACCGGCUAACUUCGUG
rnacentral:rRNA from 1 species